UACGGGGGGGGCAAGCGUUGUUCGGAAUUACUGGGCGUAAAGGGCGCGUAGGCGGCUUACCAAGUCAGGCGUGAAAUUCCCGGGCUCAACCUGGGGGCUGCGCUUGAUACUGGUGAGCUUGAAUGCGGGAGAGGAUAGUGGAAUUCCCAGUGUAGAGGUGAAAUUCGUAGAUGUUGGGAAGAACACCGGUGGCGAAGGCGGCUAUCUGGCCCGUAAUUGACGCUGAGGCGCGAAAGCGUGGGGAGCAAACAGG
rnacentral:rRNA from 1 species